AGAAAUGGAUUUAGAUGAAUAUCUGUUAGAGGAAGAUCUCUACUGUUGUGUAUAUAAGAAGAUGUUCAGAUGAUAUUCUUCACACAUCAAUCUCUCAUCCAACUCUGAGAUCUUGAAGCUCAACACAACUUCUCCAGGAUUCAUUUCUUCACAUCAUCUAAAACAAUGAGACAUCUGAUGGCUUUGAUGUUUCUGGUGAUCUUCUGCUCUCUGCAGCUGACUUCAAGUGCCCCAGAAGCCUCUAAUGCGGCAAAAUCAAUAUGCUGUGUUAAGUUCAGCAAUGCAAUGAUUCCUCUGAGACUGGUGAAGUCGUACUAUAGGACCGACAGCAGCUGCCCCAAACCAGCCAUUGUGUUUCAGACUGACAAAAGAGAGAUCUGUGUAGAUCCAGAAACCAGCUGGGUGAACCACCACAUCGCUAAAGUGGAUAUGAAAACUAGCACAACAACUACAAUUACUACAGUAUAAAAACCUAAACCAACACGGUCUUAAUAAUCUGUUUAAGCUAAACAUCUGAUCUAACAUUGUACAUACUGUAUACUUUACUCCUACUAUAGGUUCUUAUUUGGAAAUAUAUUUUUACUAAAUAUUUUACUAAAUAAAAUAUAUAUUUUGCAUUUUAUACUCUUUUUAAUAAAUAUUUGAUAAUAAAUAAAUCCUUGUGUAGGGAAAUUUUUCCCUUUAUAUUUCAUCCAUAAAAGUGAAUCCAGCAAGCUCAAGCCAGUGUGUAACUCAUGUAAUAUUGCUCAGCAAUGAACUGCAUAAAUGUGUAGAUUGUAUUACUUUAACUAGAUUGCAUCAUUAAAGUUAUUAAUAACUGCCCUCAUGAGCAACAAAU